GACGGAGGGUGCUAGCGUUGUUCGGAUUCAUUGGGCGUAAAGGGUGCGUAGGCGGCGCGGUAAGUCGGGUGUGAAAUCUCGGAGCUUAACUCCGAAACUGCAUUCGAUACUGCCGUGCUUGAGGACUGGAGAGGAGACUGGAAUUUACGGUGUAGCGGUGAAAUGCGUAGAUAUCGUAAGGAAGACCAGUGGCGAAGGCGGGUCUCUGGACAGUUCCUGACGCUGAGGCACGAAGGCCAGGGGAGCAAACGGG
rnacentral:rRNA from 1 species